rnacentral:rRNA from 1 species
UACGGGGGGAGCAAGCGUUGUUCGGAUUUACUGGGCGUAAAGGGCGCGUAGGCGGCCACCGCAAGUCACUUGUGAAAUCUCCGGGCUUAACCCGGAAAGGUCAACUGAUACUGCGGGGCUAGAGUGCAGAAGGGGCAACUGGAAUUCUCGGUGUAGCGGUGAAAUGCGUAGAUAUCGAGAGGAACACCUGCGGCGAAGGCGGGUUGCUGGGCUGACACUGACGCUGAGGUGCGAAAGCUAGGGGAGCGAACGGG